rfam:Allomyces macrogynus ATCC 38327 genomic scaffold supercont3.71, whole genome shotgun sequence.
GGGGUUUUAGCUCAGUGGUAGAGCGCUCGCUUCGCAUGCGAGAGGCCGGGGGGAUCGAUCCCCCCAACCUCCA